GAUGAACGCUAGCUACAGGCUUAACACAUGCAAGUCGAGGGGUAACGAGAGGAAAGCUUGCUUUCCUUGUUGACGACCGGCGCACGGGUGAGUAACGCGUAUCCAACCUGCCCCCAACUAGGGAAUAACCUUGCGAAAGUAAGACUAAUACCCUAUAAUUUCCUCAGAUGUCAUCUGACGAGGAAUAAAGAUUUAUCGGUUGUGGAUGGGGAUGCGUCUGAUUAGCUUGUUGGCGGGGUAACGGCCCACCAAGGCAACGAUCAGUAGGGGUUCUGGGAGGAAGGUCCCCCACAUUGGAACUGAGACACGGUCCAAACACCUACGGGAGGCAGCAGUGGGGAGUAUUGGUCAAUGGGCGGAAGCCUGAACCAGCCAAGUAGCGUGCAGGAUGACGGCCCUAUGGGUUGUAAACUGCUUUUAUACAGGAAUAAAGUUAGCCACGUGUGGUUAUUUGUAGGUACUGUAUGAAUAAGGACCGGCUAAUUCCGUGCCAGCCGCCGCAGUAA
rnacentral:rRNA from 1 species